rnacentral:rRNA from 1 species
ACGAACGCUGGCGGCGUGCCUAAUACAUGCAAGUUGAGCGCUGAAGGUUGGUACUUGUACCAACUGGAUGAGCAGCGAACGGGUGAGUAACGCGUGGGGAAUCUGCCUUUGAGCGGGGGACAACAUUUGGAAACGAAUGCUAAUACCGCAUAAAAACUUUAAACACAAGUUUUAAGUUUGAAAGAUGCAAUUGCAUCACUCAAAGAUGAUCCCGCGUUGUAUUAGCUAGUUGGUGAGGUAAAGGCUCACCAAGGCGAUGAUACAUAGCCGACCUGAGAGGGUGAUCGGCCACAUUGGGACUGAGACACGGCCCAAACUCCUACGGGAGGCAGCAGUAGGGAAUCUUCGGCAAUGGACGAAAGUCUGACCGAGCAACGCCGCGUGAGUGAAGAAGGUUUUCGGAUCGUAAAACUCUGUUGGUAGAGAAGAACGUUGGUGAGAGUGGAAAGCUCACCAAGUGACGGUAACUACCCAGAAAGGGACGGCUAACUACGUG